rfam:Streptomyces cellostaticus strain DSM 40189 genomic scaffold PRJNA299219_s021, whole genome shotgun sequence.
CUUCAACGAACCCACCAGCAGCGGCCCACCAUCACGCUCCCUGCCAUAGGUAGCAAGCAGGGCCUGAGCCUC